CAUGUAGACGCCAAAUAUUGCGACUAGUUAUCUACUCUUCAACGACUAUUUUAUUUCAUUUGGGCCAUUUAAUUGGGCUUUUGUAGAGUCAACUCAUUUAUCUAAACUAAUAGCCCUAACUAUAAAACCUAAUCUCUCUCUCGCGACAAACUCUAAUCUCUCUCUCGCGACAAACCCUAAUCUCUCUCUCGCGACAAACCCUAAUCUCUCUCUCUCUCUCUCUCGAUCUCGAUAACCCUAAUCCUCUCGAUUCCUCUAUCUAUUUCAUUUCUCUCAAUCUUCAUCGAAUCGAACCCUAAUCGAUCUCAAUCUUCAUAUCGAUGGCUCCUUGUGGAAGAAAGAAUAUAGGAGGAGGAGGAAGGGCUACGAAAUCGCCUCAAAUCGACCCACAGGUCUUCCAACCAAGUAUACCUUCCUCUGUCGAACCCUCAAACCCAGAUCCAAAGUCUUAGCGAAAUCCUGUCUCAAUCGGCCAGCCUCCAACGGGCCCUACUUACAGAGACAAUCCAUCUCCAAAGAAUCUUUUCUAGUCGGCGAGGAGCUCUCCUGUGGGAGAAGAUCUAAUCAGUUCUCCAUCUGCUCACCUCAAGGCUCUAGAUCGACUCAUCGUCGCGCCUCUGGAUCGAAUCAAACUCCAUCAUCAUAUCAACCUCUAGCCUCGAAUCAACCUCAACCAUCUCCUCCACCUCGAGCUUCUGUAUCACAUCACAGUUCUCAAGCGCAAAACUCACACAAGAAAGAAGAUGAGAAAGCUGAUUCUAAGGAAGAUGUGCUAAGGGAUUCCAAUCUCCCAGAGAUGUGCUCGCUGCUUUACAGGAAUUGCUUGUCCAGCCAGGCUGUGAGCAACAUACCACCGUUAGCUCUCGCAUAUUAGACCCUAGAACCACUUAAUUUGGUAAGGACAAGUCAAAGCUUACCCGGAAGAUUGCAAAGGUUUUUACAAACAAGUUUGAUGUGCCAUAUUAAAGUUGGAGUUAUGUGCCUCUGCAAGAACAGAAAUAUACUUCCUCGAAUUUGUGAAACAACACACCUGGCAUCCCUCACUGACCGGUGUGGUUGAAGCAAAAGUCUAUUUGGUUUGUCAACUCCGUAUGAAAGACAUGGUUUCCAAGGCUACGAGUUGACGAGAGCAACCCAAUCGGAAUUGGCAAUAAACUUCGGAAAGAAAUGUGUGACUAUUGGGACACAAAAGAAGCCCAAACAAAGAGUGCAACCACAUCAGCAGCUCGAAUGUUUGACAGUAAUGGUGUUGGUCCUCAUAAGCACGUGUCGAAGUCGAUGUCUUACAUACAAGUCGAACUAGAGAUGGUAGUUACAUCAAGAGAUGGAAGUUGAAUGGGGAAAACCACCUACUAUAGGUGAAGUUUUCAUCAGGACUCCUACCAAAAAUAAUGGGACUUUUGUCGAUAGGAAAGCGCAAGAAGUUCAUGAGGCAUAUAAGAAAAACAAAGCAACUAAGUUGGCUGCCCUCGAGAAUUAUGAGUCGUUCGAUGGUACUUCGUCUCGAUCAGAGAUAUCUCAAGAGGAGGAUUACGAGAUUUUUCGUCGGUCUACUGUCACAAAUGACAAAAGAGAAUACUUUGGAGUUGGAAGCCUAUGGAGUUACAUCAACGGAAAGUAGAAGUACCCAAGAAACUCUUCUUCAUUCACAAGCCUGCAAACACAUCUUGAGGAAGCUAACCGCAAAAUAGAGGAACAAGCAGCGCGUGAAGCAGGGACUUUGUGGGUUGCAGCUAAGCAGGAAGCAGAUAUCAAGCACUUGACGAUCAUGAAGAAGUACUUGAGCGUAACUAACCCAAACUUUCUCACCUUUUUCGAGUCUCAACCAAUUGAUCCCGCUACUACUUGUGUUAAAACAUAGGUCCCUUAACUUUCCCUCCUUCUCUGAACUUGAAAACUUGUGUUGGUUUGAAAAAGAAUAUUUGUUGUUUGGUUUUGAACAUGAAUGUGUUGUUUGGUUUUCAGUUGAA